rnacentral:tRNA from 1 species
AAGUGUCUAUAUCUCGGCUGGUUAGAACACACGCCUGAUAAUUUUGAGGUCGGUGGUUCAAGUCCAUUUAGGUC